AACAAACCGACAGCAAUGGCAGAUAUCAGAACGUGUGGUAUUAUCCCUCUAAACUUGCGGAACUGACAAUUAAGUCAAUAAAAGGGCGAAUCCCUCAAAAGGUGGGACCUCCAGUUGGUGCCGAAAUGGUGAAUCUGCAAGAAAAUGGUGAAAACCGACUUCGAUAACCCUGGGUUGAUGAACCAGACUGGAACGCCUAGCUAGAUAGUUCUCCAGACAAACGCAUAUUGGAGAGCAAGGAGACAGAUACGAACAGGGUUCAAGAGUGAUGCCCUCUACAGCCGAAUUGCGUAGUGAAGUUAGUUACGGCUCGUACAUAGAAGACACCUCAAAAGCCGCAUCACGGCGCGGAACGAAAACACAGGCACAUACAAAACGUGUACACAGAAGAGAACGUGCGAGUGAGUUUGUGUUUCGGUUCUGAAGAGGUGAAGGCAGCAGAAGAGGAAAACGGGUGAGGAGGGAAGAAAAAACACAGAAACGGCCAGAAUAACAGGAUUGAGACAACGUAGACUGAUGGAAUUAAGCCAAGAGAUGCUGAGUGAGAGAUAUCUUCUGGCCUGUUGGGGACGAUGGUGUCUCUGGCUAGGCAGCAUUUACUGCCCAUCCCUAAUUGCCCAGAGGACAGCAGUUAAGAGAUAACCAAUUUCCUGUGGGUCUGGAGUCACAUGUAAGCCGGACCAGAUUUUUGUUCAAUCCAAUUCUACUAUUUGCUAUGAUGGGAUUCAAACUCAUUUCCUCAGAACAUUCGCCUGGGUUUUGGGAUUGCUAAUCCAGUGAUACCAGCACUACAACAUGGCAUCCCCUCUGAAUAAAGCGGAAACUCUGAACUCUCUGAUGGGGUGGAAUAUAAUGCAGUUUUGGACAAUGAGACAAUCCAGGCAGGCAGUAAUUGGAAUCUGGCACAAACUUCUGAAGAAGACCUGUCUUUACCUAUUAACAAUUAUUAUAAUAAUUAACAAUAAUUGAUAUGUUUAAGAGUCAAUGUAACCUGUUCUGAGAUGUAAUAACCUGAUUUAUUUUGUGUAAAAU